AUACGGAGGGUGCAAGCGUUGUUCGGAAUUAUUGGGCGUAAAGCGGGCGCAGGCGGUCGUACAAGUCGGAUGUGAAAUCCCUGGGCUCAACCCAGGAACUGCAUUCGAAACUGUACGACUAGAGUCUCGGAGAGGGUGGCGGAAUUCCCGGUGUAGAGGUGAAAUUCGUAGAUAUCGGGAGGAACACCAGUGGCGAAGGCGGCCACCUGGACGAUGACUGACGCUCAGGUCCGAAAGCGUGGGGAGCAAACAGGAUUAGAAACCCCAGUAGUCC
rnacentral:rRNA from 1 species